UACGUAGGGAGCGAGCGUUGUCCGGAUUCAUUGGGCGUAAAGCGCGCGUAGGCGGUUUGGUAAGUCGGAUGUGAAAUCCCGAGGCUCAACCUCGUGACUGCAUCCGAUACUGCCCGACUAGAGGUAGGUAGGGGAGAUCGGAAUUCCUAGUGUAGCGGUGGAAUGCGUAGAUAUUAGGAAGAACACCAGUGGCGAAGGCGACUUUCUGGCCCGAUACUGACGCUGAGGUGCGAAAGCGUGGGGAGCAAACAGG
rnacentral:rRNA from 1 species